GGCGAGAUGGCCGAGCGGUCUAAGGCGCUGUGUUAAGGUUCAUCGGCUCGGAGUUCCAAGUCCGACGUCCCCUCCGCAGUCUUCGGACGUGGGUUCGAAUCCCACUCUCGUCA
rfam:Trichosporon asahii var. asahii CBS 8904 unplaced genomic scaffold scaffold00049, whole genome shotgun sequence.